UACGUAGGGGGCAAGCGUUGUCCGGAAUUAUUGGGCGUAAAGAGCGCGUAGGCGGUCCGAUAAGUCGGCUGUGAAAGUCAGGGGCUCAACCCUUGGAAGCCGGCCGAUACUGUCGGACUAGAGUCCGGAAGAGGCGAGUGGAAUUCCCGGUGUAGCGGUGAAAUGCGCAGAUAUCAGGAGGAACACCGGUGGCGAAGGCGGAUCUCUGGGCCAUUACUGACGCUGAGGAGCGAAAGCGUGGGGAGCGAACAGG
rnacentral:rRNA from 1 species